UACGAAGGGGGCUAGCGUUGCUCGGAAUCACUGGGCGUAAAGGGUGCGUAGGUGGAUCUUUAAGUCAGGGGUGAAAUCCUGGAGCUCAACUCCAGAACUGCCUUUGAUACUGAGGAUCUUGAGUUCGGGAGAGGUAAGUGGAACUGCGAGUGUAGAGGUGAAAUUCGUAGAUAUUCGCAAGAACACCAGUGGCGAAGGCGGCUUACUGGCCCGAUACUGACACUGAGGCACGAAAGCGUGGGGAGCAAAC
rnacentral:rRNA from 2 species